GAUGAACGCUGGCGGCGUGCCUAAUACAUGCAAGUCGAGCGAACGGACGAGAAGCUUGCUUCUCUGAUGUUAGCGGCGGACGGGUGAGUAACACGUGGAUAACCUACCUAUAAGACUGGGAUAACUUCGGGAAACCGGAGCUAAUACCGGAUAAUAUUUUGAACCGCAUGGUUCAAAAGUGAAAGACGGUCUUGCUGUCACUUAUAGAUGUAUCCGCGCUGCAUUAGCUAGUUGGUAAGGUAACGGCUUACCAAGGCAACGAUGCAUAGCCGACCUGAGAGGGUGAUAGGCCACACUGGAACUGAGACACGGUCCAGACUCCUACGGGAGGCAGCAGUAGGGAAUCUUCCGCAAUGGGCGAAAGCCUGACGGAGCAACGCCGCGUGAGUGAUGAAGGUCUUCGGAUCGUAAAACUCUGUUAUUAGGGAAGAACAUAUGUGUAAGUAACUGUGCACAUCUUGACGGUACCUAAUCAGAAAGCCACGGCUAACUACGUG
rnacentral:rRNA from 1 species